CCUACGGGAGGCAGCAGUAGGGAAUCUUCCACAAUGGGCGAAAGCCUGAUGGAGCAACGCCGCGUGAGUGAAGAAGGUUUUCGGAUCGUAAAACUCUGUUGUAAGGGAAGAACAAGUACAGUAGUAACUGGCUGUACCUUGACGGUACCUUAUUAGAAAGCCACGGCUAACUACGUGCCAGCAGCCGCGGUAAU
rnacentral:rRNA from 1 species